UUUUAGAUCAUUUUUCAGUUUUGUGAUAUAAUAUUUUGACUCAAUGUCUUAUUUAAAUUUUUUUUGCAAUUAAUAUGUUUAUUCUUACUCGCAUGAAUAGUACUUUAUGCAUGACUAAUUUUUUUAAGUUUUUAUACAAAUUUUUUAAAUAAGACGAAUGGUCAAACGUUGGACACGGAGAAAC
rnacentral:pre_miRNA from 1 species